rnacentral:lncRNA from 1 species
UUGAUUUGGUCUGUGGCUCACACAUGAAGCAGUUCUACUCUAUCUGGAAACAGAAAUUUUGAAACAGUGAUACUCUUUGAAUUAUGUUAAAUUUGAGCAAAUUGGUAGGAAUAGACAAAGCCUGACUUUAGGGGAGCCUUUUACACUUUUGAUUUAAUUUAUUUGAUAUUUAUAAAAAGUAAAGUGAUAACUCAUGCUUAACUUAUUUGCUUAUAAAAGGGGAUUAUAAAUAUUAGUGAUGGUACAUAUAUGCAAUCUCAGUACUUGGGAGGCUAGUCCUAUAUAUGACCAUUUCAAAACUGACAAUGAAUAAGUAAGUAUAUAUAUUAUAUAUAUUUUAUAUAACACCUAUAUCAUAUAUUACACACCUCACUGUAGAUGUCUAGUAUGAUACAUUACAUAGAAGGUUUAUGAGAUCUCUUCAAUAUUUCAUAAGUUCUCUUACAUUUAGCUAUGAAUUAAUACUAGGCCACAUUAUAUUGGCUACAUUUUACCUUUUGAAUUAGUUCUGUUUCAUGUUUUCAUGAAAAAUAAGUCUGAACUGGAUUGCUGGUAGUCUUUAACAUGCUUUCCUUAUUACAAUAGUUUUCUUGUAUAAAUUGAAUUGUUAAUAGUUAUUGGUAACAUUUUAAGCAAAAGUAUAUGGAAAAUAUAUGUAGGUACAGGUUUCUGUGUAUCUAGGAUGUUCUUCUUAUUUUUUUUUAUUGAAAAUAGAUUUUCUCACAUAUUAUAUCCUGAUUUUGGUUUCCCUUCUCUGUACUCCUCCCAUCUGAUCUCCACUUCUCCUCUCAUUCAGAUCCUGCCACUUUCUUUCUCUUAUUAGAAAGGAGCAGGCUUCUAAGAGAUACUACUGAAAUAUAAUAUAAUAAAAUAAAAUAUAGUAAGAUAACACAAAAGCUAUCUCAUUGAAGUUGGACAGGACAAACCAAGAGAAGGCACAAGAAUCAGAGAUCCAUUUGCUCUAAC